rnacentral:rRNA from 1 species
GACGAACGCUGGCGGCGUGCUUAACACAUGCAAGUCGAACGGAAAGGCCCUGCUUUUGUGGGGUGCUCGAGUGGCGAACGGGUGAGUAACACGUUAGUAACCUGCCCUUGACUUUGGGAUAACUUCAGGAAACUGGGGCUAAUACCGGAUAGGAGCUCCUGCUGCAUGGUGGGGGUUGGAAAGUUUCGGCGGUUGGGGUUGGACUCGCGGCUUAUCAGCUUGUUGGUGGGGUAUUGGCUUACCAAGGCUUUGCCGGGUAGCCGGCCUGAGGGGGGGAGCGGCCAAAUUGGGACUGAGAUAAGGCCCAGACUCCUACGGGAGGGAGGAGUGGGGAAGAGUGCACAAUGGGAGGAAGCCUGAAGCAGCAAAGCCGCGUGCGGGAUGACGGCCUUCGGGUUGUAAACCGCUUUCGCCUGUGACGAAGAGUGAGUGACGGUAAUGGGUAAAGAAGCACCGGCUAACUACGUG